UUUUUUUGCGGCUCUGCCAUUCACUCUCUCUUGCUUUACCGAUCCCGGCCUCGACCUCCAUCAAGGUCAACACCCCCUGUUCGCUGAUAUCAGGCUUAUCCAUCGAUCGCAAUCAACAUCAACAGAAUCUUAGUAAAAUUUAGCUUUCAUAAAAUCAGUUGAUUUCGUUUACCAUGUUAUCUACCUUUAUCUUUCUACACAGAUUGAUCAAUUUUUUCUUCUCUGUAAACCAUGUGUUUACAACUUCUUAUUCUUUCUGAUCUCGAAAAUUUUGUUCCUUAUGAUAGUAUUUGUUUUUGUUUUUCAAGAAUUGGGAAACUGAAAUUUUGUUAUUAAUCUGACAAAAUAGAGUUACAGUAGAAAUAAACCGAAGAAACUUGAUUUCUAAUGAAACUCUGUUUUACCUAUUAUUCUAUUAAUUUUUAUGUACUACGGCUUCUAUUAGAUUAUUUAUUGUUCUCAAUUUUGAUCUGAUAUCAGUUUUUAUCUUCUACAGAUUCUGUUUGCUCUGCAAUUUCACAUCUAGGUGGUUAAUUACAACAAUUUCAAGUGAGUGCCCACAAACAUAGAGUUAUCUCUACUAAUUUUAUUGGUUUUCUAUUAAGGGAAAGAGAUACGUUGAGUCCGCAACUCUGAUCGUGACUCUUUGACAGCCCAUUAGCUUUGUCUCCGUCGAUAGUGCGAAGUUUUCAGAACUAGAAGGGGUGCUUUAUCUGCUUUCAACGUGCUGGCAACAGUGGCUCGGUUUUACUGGUAGUUGAUCGUUUGGCAGUAAACAGUGAUUAGUUCUGUACCUGCCUGGGAUUUAAGUGGAGAAACAGAGGAGGGACUGUGUUAUAGUCACUGAGCUUGCGAAGCCGCUGAUUGCCUACUACAUUUCGCACAGUUUAAAAGGCUGGAAAAGUGUUCUUUUACUGCAUCAGGCCACAGUUUGUGACGAUUACCUUGGUGUAAGGGCGAUUGAAUCCACUUUCUGCCUUGACAGCUCUCUUAUCUCCUGUCGCCAAAGCACUCUCUCUUUCUUUGUUAACUCUGUAAGAAAAGAAAUAGAAAUACGUUUUAGCUCAAAGUCUCAAACUUGCUACUGCUCAGUUUAAUCUUUUGAGGUACAAUUGGUAAAUCUGGAACUUUUCUUUGAAAUAGAUGUUGUGCUUGAUUUAAUGUAUGCAAUUGGGCCUGCAAAUUGUGUGCCAUUGCUUUGUGUAUUUCUCCUAUUUCAAGUCUUUAAUGAAGUCAGUGCUUGCAGAUCACUGCUGGUUAUGUAAAUAUUUGUACAACGAAUGUAUAAAUUUUAGCAAGUAAACAAACCCGCGGCAUCGCGCGGGAGGCAUUAUCUA